CCCUUAGAUGUUCUGGGCUGCACGCGCGCUACACUGACAUACUCAGCAAGUUUCCUCGCCUGAAAGGGUUGGGUAAUCUUGUUAGUGUAUGUCGUGAUGGGGAUAGAAUAUUGUAAUUAUUGCUCUUUAACGAGGAAUUCCUAGUAAGCGCAAGUCAUCAGCUUGCGUUGAUUACGUCCCUGCCCUUUGUACACACCGCCCGUCGCUCCUACCGAUUGGGUGAUCCGGUGAAUGAUUCGGACUCUGGCUAUGCUAGCUACUAGCUACGUCAGGGAAAGUUUUGUGAACCUUAUCACUUGGAGGAAGGAGAAGUCGUAACA
rnacentral:rRNA from 1 species